rnacentral:lncRNA from 1 species
CUGCUGAAUUAUACCACUGUGCAAGGAAAGAGGAGUUGUCAUGUUACUCCCUCAGCAGAUAUUAAAGUCAAUUUUAAAAGUAUUUCUCUUAUGCAUCAAACAAAUUGGAUGAGCUGAACUUAAACAUUCUGCAGCAGGGUUGGAGGCUGUUUGUUUGUCUGAAGACAAAGUUGGAUUCACUGAUUGCUCACUGCUGCCAGUCAUACUGAGUGAGUAAAGACUUGUGAAGGAGAAAUCUCAGAAGCCUGUAAUCAAGAGGCCAGGUGCUUUGAUUGAUACUGAGGCUGAGACUGUUACGUGGAGCUCCAGGAGCAAUGAGACAAAGAAAUUAUGUUUCCUACACUUCUGUGCCUGUUCAGUGACUGGAGAUGAAAACUUAUUUUCCCUCUUAACAAACCAGGGCAAGUAUUCCAAAGGUGUGCUCUGCAGGCCGGCACAGGACCAAGGGGUUUUGGCAUCGAUAGUCAAUGACUGAAGCAAGUCAUGGUACGUAACCUCCCUUCUCCCUCAACUCCAAAUUGGGAAAUGUGGUACAGGGUAUUAAAGGGUUCUCAUUUACUAAUAAUACUGUAAACAAAUGAUAAUAAAAGUAUUUUUUUACAUUUGGUUCUUUUC